GCAAGUCGAACGAACUCUGGUAUUGAUUGGUGCUUGCAUCAUGAUUUACAUUUGAGUGAGUGGCGAACUGGUGAGUAACACGUGGGAAACCUGCCCAGAAGCGGGGGAUAACACCUGGAAACAGAUGCUAAUACCGCAUAACAACUUGGACCGCAUGGUCCGAGCUUGAAAGAUGGCUUCGGCUAUCACUUUUGGAUGGUCCCGCGGCGUAUUAGCUAGAUGGUGGGGUAACGGCUCACCAUGGCAAUGAUACGUAGCCGACCUGAGAGGGUAAUCGGCCACAUUGGGACUGAGACACGGCCCAAACUCCUACGGGAGGCAGCAGUAGGGAAUCUUCCACAAUGGACGAAAGUCUGAUGGAGCAACGCCGCGUGAGUGAAGAAGGGUUUCGGCUCGUAAAACUCUGUUGUUAAAGAAGAACAUAUCUGAGAGUAACUGUUCAGGUAUUGACGGUAUUUAACCAGAAAGCCACGGCUAACUACGUGCCAGCAGCCGCGGUAAUACGUAGGUGGCAAGCGUUGUCCGGAUUUAUUGGGCGUAAAGCGAGCGCAGGCGGUUUUUUAAGUCUGAUGUGAAAGCCUUCGGCUCAACCGAAGAAGUGCAUCGGAAACUGGGAAACUUGAGUGCAGAAGAGGACAGUGGAACUCCAUGUGUAGCGGUGAAAUGCGUAGAUAUAUGGAAGAACACCAGUGGCGAAGGCGGCUGUCUGGUCUGUAACUGACGCUGAGGCUCGAAAGUAUGGGUAGCAAACAGGAUUAGAUACCCUGGUAGUCCAUACCGUAAACGAUGAAUGCUAAGUGUUGGAGGGUUUCCGCCCUUCAGUGCUGCAGCUAACGCAUUAAGCAUUCCGCCUGGGGAGUACGGCCGCAAGGCUGAAACUCAAAGGAAUUGACGGGGGCCCGCACAAGCGGUGGAGCAUGUGGUUUAAUUCGAAGCUACGCGAAGAACCUUACCAGGUCUUGACAUACUAUGCAAAUCUAAGAGAUUAGACGUUCCCUUCGGGGACAUGGAUACAGGUGGUGCAUGGUUGUCGUCAGCUCGUGUCGUGAGAUGUUGGGUUAAGUCCCGCAACGAGCGCAACCCUUAUUAUCAGUUGCCAGCAUUAAGUUGGGCACUCUGGUGAGACUGCCGGUGACAAACCGGAGGAAGGUGGGGAUGACGUCAAAUCAUCAUGCCCCUUAUGACCUGGGCUACACACGUGCUACAAUGGAUGGUACAACGAGUUGCGAACUCGCGAGAGUAAGCUAAUCUCUUAAAGCCAUUCUCAGUUCGGAUUGUAGGCUGCAACUCGCCUACAUGAAGUCGGAAUCGCUAGUAAUCGCGGAUCAGCAUGCCGCGGUGAAUACGUUCCCGGGCCUUGUACACACCGCCCGUCACACCAUGAGAGUUUGUAACACCCAAAGUCGGUGGGGUAACCUUUUAGGA
rnacentral:rRNA from 1 species